AGAGUUGGGAAACCUGGGUCUUUGUCACAUUGCCUUUGCCAGCCUGGAAUUUCUGACCUGACUAAAUCUAGUCAGGUGGCCACAAGUAUUCUUCAUCAACUUGAUUUCCACUGUUGACUGACCUGGGGAUGGCCACAGGCAAAUGUCCUAUCUGAAGGUGAUGGUACCUGCUGCUUCAUUAGCUGCAGCCCUAGUGCCCUAAUGCCUAGGAGAAGUUACGUUAGCAUCAUGCUAGGGCAGCCCAUCAUGGGAAAGAGCACACUACAACAGAUCACCAGAGAACAUGCCCAUUUUCACUGCCUCAGGUUCACCCUGUGCCCCAGUAUGUCUUCUGCUUUGUUUUCCGUCUUGUGAGACUUUCUUUACUCCACUAUGGGAAAGAAUCUAGCUGGCAGCAUUUUAAUGCAUGACAAUCCUGUUAUUACAGCUGUAAAUAAUUAACAACUAGAGAAAAUGUGGGGUUUUUUUUAAUUAUUAUUUUUGUCAGUUUUAUUUUCUCUAGUGACUAGCUGGUAGCCACUUUCUUAAGGAAUUUCUCAUGGAAACUGUGACCUUUCUUCUCUCUCUCUCUCUCUCUCAAUUUCUCUUUCUGAGAUUUGUGUUUCAAAUGCUUUUUGGUGCAAUGUUCAAUGCCUGUUUGUAUUUUUGAACCGUAUUUUUCAACCUUUGCCAGAAAAGGGAAAAAAAAAAAAGAAAACGUGCCCAUUCUAAUUGGCAGGAUUUUGGGUCCUGCAGUUUUUUUCAGCUUUGAGCUUUUUCAUAAGUUAAAGCAAAAGAAAAGUGUCUCCAAAAAUCACAGUGAAGUUCUGAAGAGAGAUCAGAAACCAUCAGAAACAAGAACUACAUGAAUAAGAUCAGCAAAUGGAGGAGGACUCUCCUGACCACCUACUAACUAACACACAAGGCAGGACAAGACCUCUUCACUGAAUGAAAUCACUCCGCUUUUCCACUCUGCCCACUCUAUCGAACUCCGAUCAAAACAAAUUAAAAUUCAUAUUAAAAAAGAGAA